rnacentral:rRNA from 1 species
GAUGAACGCUGGCGGCGUGCUUAACACAUGCAAGUCGAACGGUGAAGCAGGAGCUUGCUCUUGUGGAUCAGUGGCGAACGGGUGAGUAACACGUGAGCAACCUGCCCCUGACUCUGGGAUAAGCGCUGGAAACGGCGUCUAAUACUGGAUAUGUGAUGUGACCGCAUGGUCUGCAUCUGGAAAGAAUUUCGGUUGGGGAUGGGCUCGCGGCCUAUCAGCUUGUUGGUGAGGUAAUGGCUCACCACGGCGUCGACGGGUAGCCGGCCUGAGAGGGUGACCGGCCAGACUGGGACUGAGACACGGCCCAGACUCCUACGGGAGGCAGCAGUGGGGAAUAUUGCACAAUGGGCGGAAGCCUGAUGCAGCAACGCCGCGUGAGGGAUGACGGCCUUCGGGUUGUAAACCUCUUUUAGCAGGGAAGAAGCGAAAGUGACGGUACCUGCAGAAAAAGCACCGGCUAACUACGUGCCAGCAGCCGCGGUAA